UGUAAAUUUUCUAUUUCUCAUCUACAGAGUUGUCUGUCUUUAUCCAAAAUCCCUCCAUUGAAGAGAUGUGGAUCAACCAGACCGCUACUCUGGUGUGUAUGAUUGUGGGUGCUGAUCUGAGCCAGGUCCAAAUCCACUGGCAGGUGAACAAGGAGGAGAAAAUCAAAGCAAACGUGACCAAAAAGCCCAGAGAGGAAGGAACCCAAGACACAGUGAUCAGCCAACAUCAGACCAGUGUGGAGGAGUGGGCCAGUGGGGUGGAGUACACUUGCUCUGCCCAACAACCUUCUUCAACCUCACCAGUAUCAGCACAGACGAAAAGAACCAAAGUUCCAGUGGAGACAAAAGGUCCCAAAGUCAGACUGCUGCCUCCGCCAGAAGGAGAGACCAAGAGUGGGAACACGGUCACUCUCGAGUGUAUUGCUUCUGGAUUCUACCCAAACCAAAUAACCAUCACCUGGGAGAAAGGGGACUCUCUGAUCUCUUCCAACAUCAGUGUGAGACCAGCUGCUCUGGAACAGGGAGGGACUUUCAUCGCCAGCUACGUCCUGACUGUGAGCACAGAGGAGUGGAAGGAAGGCUCAGUUUUCAGAUGCACAGUGUCUCACCCCCCCUCCAACACCAGCGUCAGGCAGGAUGUGAAAAACAUUCAAGAAACCUGCACAGACUUGACAGGAGAGGAGGGGAAGGAAGAACAGGGACACGUGGAUGGAGAUGACAAUGUGCCUACAGUUGCUGCCUUUGCCAUUCUGUUCAUCAUCAGUUUCCUCUACAGCACCUUCGUCACCGUUGUCAAGGUUCAGCAGUGACCAGCAGAUACACGCCCCACAUUCAGACAAGAGAUCCCCGUGUGGCUGCGAUGUUUGGAAAUGGAGUCUCCAUCUCACUCACUCGGCAAUCUGAGGCUACUGCACUGCAACUGCUCAUUUCAGAAUAUAAACCUCUAGAUGCACCGGGGAUGCCAGAUGGGAAAUGGGGGCACAGAGCUGGUUAGGUGGGCGAAGGGACAGCAGUGGAUGACACUUUGGGAAAAUGGCAGGAUAUGUGACACUGGAGGGGGUAUACAAGAGGGGAGAGAAAGGCAGCAUUAAGCCUUGGGAAUGGGAAACAGGGGAUGGGAGCUUUAUGAGUGAAGGAGAAGAGGGAGGUGAGGAAAUGGAUUUUAUUGUUAAGGAGCAAGAAAUUGAUGUGGGGGGUGAUUGUGGUGGAGGGUGGGCUCAGUGUCUUGUUCUGUUAUAUUUUGUAAAUCAGACGUUACGGAAAUCAUUGCCUGUAGCAUUUCUUUCAUUAUUCCGCUGGAGUUUAUUUCAUGAUUUGAAAUUGUAUUAAUUAAAAACAAAAACAAUGAGACAAUGAAGUGUCUGGAGUUGAUAAAACUGAGGGAAGCCAUUCAUCCCAUCUUAGUUCCCUCAUCACUGCAGUGACUUCACCUGCCUACAAGUACAACAAGUGGGUAUUGCAUCCCAUAAGACCACAAGACAAAGGAGCAGAAGUCGGCCAUUUGGCCCAUCGAGUCUACUCUGCCAUUUCAUUAUGAGCUGAUCCAAUCUCCUCUUUAGUCCCAUUCCCCCGCCUUCUCACCAUAACCUUUGAUGCCCUGACUACUCUGAUACCACCCGUGGCAACAAAUUCCACAGAUUCACCACCAUCUGGCUAAAAAAAAUUUUCACAUCUCCAUUCUGAAUGGGCGCCCUGCAAUCCUCAAGUCACGUCCUCUCGUACUAGACUCCCCCACCAUGGGAAACAACUUUGCCACAUCCACUCUGUCCAUGCCUUUAAACAUUCAAAAUGUUUCUGAGGUCCCCGCUCAUUCUUCUAAACUCCAAGGAGUACAGUCCAAGAGCGGUCAAACAUUCCUCCUACGUUAACCCUCUCAUUCCCGGAAUCAUUCUAGUGAAUCUUCUCUGAACCCUCUCCAACGUCAGCACAUCCUUUCUUAAAUAAGGAGCCCAAAACUGCACACAGUAUUCCAAGUGAGGUCUUACCAGUGCCUUAUAGAGCCUCAACAUCACAUCCCUGCUCCUAUACUCUAUUCCCCUAGAAAUGAAUGCCAACAUUGCAUUCGCCUUUUUCACCACCGACUCAACCUGGAGGUUAACCUUAAGGGUAUCCUGCAUGAGAACUCCCAAGUCCCGUUGCAUCUCAGAACUUUGAAUUCUCUCCCCAUUUAAAUAAUAGUCUGCCCAUUUAUUUCUUCUACCAAAGUGCAUGACCGUACACUUUCUGUUUUUGUAAUUCAUUUGCCACUUCUUUGCCCAUUCCCCCAAUCUAUCCAAGGCACUCUGCAGACUCUCUGUUUCCUCAACGCACCAGCUCCUCCACCUAUCUUUGUAUCAUCAGCAAACUUAGCCACAAAGCCAUCUAUUCCAUAAUCCAAAUUGUUGAUAUACAACGGAAAAAGAAGCGGCCCCAACACUGACCCCUGCGGAACACCACUGGUAACCAGCAGCCAACCAGAAUGGGAUCCCUUCAUUUCCACUCUCUGUUUCCUGCCAAUCAACCAACAGUCUAUCCACGUAUGUGACUUUCCUGUAAUUCCAUGGGCUCUUAUCUUGUUUAGCAGCCUCAUGUGCGGCACCUUGUCAAAGGCCUUCUGAGAAUCCAAAUACACAACAUCCACUACAUCUCCCUUGUCUAGCUUACUUGUAACUUCUCAAAAAAUUGCACUAGGUUUGUCAGGCAGGAUUUUCCUUCAAGGAAACCAUGCUGAGUUCUGCCUACCUUGUCAUAUGUCUCCAGCUACUCUGUAACCUCAUCCUUGACAAUCGACUCCAACAACUUCCCAACCACCAAUGUCAAGCUAACAGGUCUAUAAUUUCCUUUUUGCAUCCUUGCCCCCUUCUUAAAUAGUGGAGUGACAUUUGCAAUCUUCCAGUCCUCUGGAACCAGGCCAGAAUCUAUAGACUUUUGAAAGAUCAUUGCUAAUGCCUCCACAAUCUCCACCACUACUUCCUUCAGAACACGAGGGUGCAUUCCAUCUGGUCAAAGAGAUUUAUCUACCCUUAGACUAUUCAGCUUCCUGAGUACUUUCUCUGUUGUAAUUGUGACUGUGCAUAUUUCUCUUCCCUGACACCCUUGAAUAUCUGGUAUAUUACUGGUCUUCCUCAGUGAAGACUGAUGCAAAAUACUCGUUCAGUUCCUCUGCCAUCUCCUUAUUUCUCCUUACAAUUUCUCCAGCACCGUUUUCUAUCUGUCCUAUAUCUACUCUCACCUGUCUUUUACUCUUUAUUUUCUUGAAAAAGCUUUCAGUCUCCUCUUUGAUAUUAUUUGCUCGCUUCCUUUCAUAGUUCAUCCUUUCCCUCUUAAUGACCUUCUUAGUUUCCUUUUGUCAGCUUUUAUAAACUUCCCAAUUCUUUGUCUUCCCACUAAGUUUUGCUUCCUUGUAUGCCCCCUGCUUUGCUUUUACUUUGGCUUUGACUUCUUUUGUCAGCCACAGUUGCAUCCUUUUUCCAUUCGAAAAUUUCUUUUUCUUUGGAAAAUAUCUGUUCUGGCACCCUCACUGCUCGCAUAAACUCCAGCCACUGCUGCUCUGCCGUCCUUCCUGUUAGUGUCCCUUUCCAGUCAACUGUGGCUAGUUCCUCUCUCAUGCUACUGUAACUUAGAAACAUAGAAAAUAGGUGCAGGAGUAGGCCAUUCGGCCCUUUGAACCUGCACCGCCAUUCAGUAUGAUCAUGGCUAAUCAUCCAACUCAGAACCCUGUACCUGCUUUCUCUCCAUACCCCCGAUCCCUUUAGCCACAAGGGCCAUAUCUAACUUCCUCUUAAAUAUAGCCAAUGAACUGGCAGAGAAUUGCACAGAUUCACCACUCUCUGUGUGAAGAAGUUUUUCCUCAUCUCGGUCCUAAAAGGCUUCCCCUUUAUCCUUAUCCUUAAACUGUGACCUCUCAUUCUGGACUUCUCCAACAUCGGAAACAAUCUUCCUGCAUCUAGCCUGUCCAAUCCCUUAAGAAUUUUAUACAUUUCAAUAAGAUCCCCCCUCAAUCUUCUAAAUUCCAGUAAGUUUAAGCCUAGUUGAUCCAGUCUUUCUUCAUAUGAAAGUCAUGCCAUCCCAGGAAUCAAUCUGGUGAACCUUAUUUGUAUUCCCUCUAUGGCAAGAAUGUCUUUCCUCAGAUUAAGGGACCAAAACUGUACACAAUACUCUAGGUGCGGUCUCACCAAGGCCUUGUACAACUGCAGUAGAACCUCCCUGCUCCUGUACUCAAAUCCUUUUGCUAUGAAUGCCAACAUAACAUUUGUCUUUUUCACCGCCUGCUGUACCUGCAUGCCCGCCUUCAAUGACUGGUGUACAAUGACACCCAGGUCUCGUUGUACCUCCCCUUUUCCUAAUCAGCCACCAUUCAGAUAGUAAUCUGUUUUCCUGUUCUUGCAACCAAAGUGGAUAACCUCACAUUUAUCCACAUUAAAUUGUGUCUGCCAUGGACUUGCUCACUGACCUAACCUAUCCAAGUCACCCUGCAUCCUCUUAGCAUCCUCCUCACAGCUAACACCGCCACCCAGCUUCAUGUCAUCCGCAAACUUGGAGAUGCUGCAUUUAAUUCCCUCGUCUAAAUCAUUAAUAUAUAUUGUAAACAACUGGGGUCCCAGCACUGAGCCUUGCGGUACCCCACUAGUCACUGCCUGCCAUUCUGAAAAGGUCCCAUUUACUCCCACUCUUUGCUUCCUGACUGCCAACCAACUCCCACUCUUUGCUUCCUGACUGCCAACCAAAUUCCCACUCUUUGCUUCCUGUCUGCCAACCAAACUCCCACUCUUUGCUUCCUGUCUGCCAACCAAAUUUCUUUUACUUCACUGAAAUACCGACACAUCGGAUUUCGGCUUCUUUCUCACAGUGAACUAAAUCAUGUUGUGAUCACUGCCUCCUAAGGGUUUGUUCACUUCCAUCUCUCUAAUUACCUCUGGUUCAUUACACGAUACCCAAUCCAGUACAGACGAUCCCCUCGUGGGCUCAACAACAAGCUGUUCUAAAAAGCCAUCUCGUAGAUAUUCUACAAAUUCUCUCUCUUGAGAUCCAGUGCUGACCUGAUUUUCCCAAUCCACUCGCAUGUUAAAAUCCCCGACAAUUAUCAUAACACUGCCCUUCUGAAAAGCUUUUUCUAUUUCCUGUUGUAAUUCGUAGUCCACAUCACUGCAGCUAUUUGGAGGCCUGUAGAUAACUGCCAUCAGAGUCCUUUUACCCCUGCAUUUUCUUAGCUCAACCCAUAAAGAUUGUGUACCUUCCGAUCCUAUGUCAACUCUUUCUUUUUUUUUAAUUUAUUUUUUUAUUGAAGUUCAUCAAACAAUCAUUUCCAUAAAAUGUAUUUCAGACAUUGUCCGUAUAUAUCAUAUAAUCAAAUAUAUCACAAAUCUCCACAAAGUAUUUAUCUGAGGGAUACACUUAUAGAAAAGAGCAGAAAGAGAAAACAAGUGAAAGGAAAAAAACUAUGUACAAGGAGGGAGAGAUCUUUUUUUUACAACAUAUUCAUUGAUUUGUGAGAAUAAAAUCAAGCCUAUGAAACAUUAUGUACUUAAACCAUUUUCCCAGUAUGAAUAAAAUUGUUCCAGCUUAUGAUUAACAGAUGCUGUUAUCUUCUCCAUUUUGUAAAUGUCCAUUGUAAUUUCCAUCCAUGUAUUUAAAGUUGGGCUCUCCUGUGAUAACUAUUUCCUAGUAGGAGUCUUUUUAACCAGACACUAACAGUAUAUUCAUUAAAUAUUUAUCUCUUUUCAACCAUUCUUGAGGUAUAUAUCCAAAAUAUAUGGUCUUACCCUCUAAGGGUAUUUCACAUUUAAAGAUGUCUUGUAGGGCAUUGUCUAUCCCCCUCCAAUAGUUUUUGAUAACAGGACAGUCCCAAAAAAAUAUGAUAAUGAUUUACGUUUUGAUUUUCACAAUUUCUCCAGCAAACAGGGAGGUUACUAUCAUAAUGGGAUUCCGAGAGGUGUAAUAAAAUAUCUAAUCAAGUUUUUCCAUCCAAACUCCCUCCAUUUCUGUGAACUGGUACACUUCCAUUGAUACCUCCAUAUUAUUAUCCAUUCUACCUCAGAUAUAAUUAUCCCUCUGUCCUUCUCACAUUUUGUUUUAAUGUAUGAAGUCGAAUGUGUUUUUAAGA